AUAGUCCAUCCUCUGUCACCUAAAUUAUGUUUUUCCCUUGUAAUAAAAUAAAUAAAGACCAAAGGGUUUUAUUUUACCAGAGGACGCAGAUUAUAGAGAGACAGAAAAAUAUAAUUCCUUGCUUAGGAGGAGAGAAAGGUAUGCAUAAAGAGGUUUUUUAAAAGAAAGAGAGAGGCUUAUUGAAGAAAAUGGAGAACAGCAGUGGUGGCAGCAGCGAUUACAGUAACAGUAGGAUUGUAGUGACAAAUGAGAAAAAGCCUAUGCAAGGAAUCAAAAUAGAGAAUCCCUUUACUUUCAAAGUACUUCAAGUAUUUACUGGCUUUGGUUUUGGCUGUGGUAUUGGUAUUGGUCAAGGCAUGCCUGUAAAUAUGGGUGCAUUGCCAAUGGUGGGCCAAGUAAUGAGUGCAACUAGAGGCGCAACUGAUGCCUUUUCUGGAAUUACCAGGCAUGUAAAUACUGCACUUUGGAAGCUGGGAGCUAAGAACAUUCAAGCAGGCGUUGGAUGUGGAGUUGGUUUCGGCCAUGGCUUUGGAAUUGGUCUUGCAGUGAAACCUGGGGCAGUGCAGAAGAUGCAAGCUUGUUUUCUAGAAGUAUUGAUGAAGAUGAUGACAAAACUUGGAAUAGCACCCAAUUUAUCAAUUGGUCAAGGUGCCCUUCCAAUGUCUUUGCAAAGUGGCGUGAGCAUGUUGACUGAAUCUUCAAUCCAAAACCCAUUGGGAAAUAUUACACAGUUAGCAAGAAAACUCCCAGAUCAAACAUCUCAAAGUCUGUAUGGAUAUGGAAAUGUUAGUUCACAUUCAAGUUCUGAAAGUUCCACUUCAAAAGGCAGUGAUACUUCUUUUGGUAGCCGAACAGAGAAGGUGAUUAGCAGUUUUCUCCAAAAUCCUAUUCUGAAAGAAGAUGGCACUGACAUAAAUGAAUUGGCUGGACGUUUGCGGUCAGAAAACAACAUGCUUCAAAUGGUGUUGAGACACCAGCAAAUCAUUGAAGAGCUAAUGGAGGAGAAUCAAAAGCUUCGUCAGAUACUUGUAGAAGACCUAAAAAUACCACCCAACAAGCUCCAGGCCAGUCACUCAACUAUAAAUAAAUCUCCAUGCACUGAUUGUUUUGAGUGCCGAAGAAGACAGAGAAAAAAGUAGAUGAAGAUGACUAAAUUUCUCAUAUUCUUGAUCAUUAAGAUCUCGAUGAAUGCCCCUUUUGAGCUAUUUGGAUGUUUUGCCCCAGAUUCAAAUGCUAUUUUGAAGGACCAUUCUCAGGAGGCAUCAAUUCUAUACAAAGAGGGGAUAUGAGAUUAUAUAGGUAGAUGCAGGUAUUCUUGCAAAUAAUUGAUUAAAGUUCAUCUAUCCAAAGGCUUGAAGAGUUUCUGAGCCAGAAGGUAGAGUUUUCUCAAGGAAUGCAUGCAUUGGCAUCAUACCUUUGGUGGAUAAAAAGGUGAAGAAAGGUUUUUAUGACUCUUACUUAAGUAGUCCUUUGAAGUGGAAUCCAAGGCUUUUUUUGUGAUUUUUUUAUGUGAAACAGUGCCUCCUGAGUAUGUGGCAUGAGAUUCCAGUUUCUUCUUACAAACUGAAUUUAUUCUCUAUUCCCUACAUAUACAUAGUGGAACGAAUAAUAAUAGCAUCAGAGGUCACUAUGUAGAAGUGGUAAUGAAGUUCUGAA